rnacentral:rRNA from 1 species
AUGCUCCUUCGCUCGCUCCUCCGCCGCGGCGCCGCCGCGGUUUCGGCCGGCGGCGUCCGCGCUCCCGCCGCGCGCUCUGAACCGCCCGCUUCCCUAGCUUCCCUCCUCCUGGCCUCCCGCUCCUACGCGAAGGCCAAGGGUGGUGGGGGCAAGCCGGCGGCGUCCACUAGUAACCGUGGCAAGGUCCGUGUCAAGGAUCCCAAAGGCGUGGCGUCUGAGGACGCCUCCGCUUCAGGGGAAUCCGCCGCAUCCGCUGGCGGGGCAGACGAGAUCGACGCCGAGUUCGAGAUGCCCACCGACCCGCUGCCCCCGACCUACGACCCGGCGCUCGACGUCGGGCCUGGCGGUCGGCCGCUCUUCGCCUUCACCGACACCUUUGCGUCCUUCUCCCACCGCGGCGCCAAUGCCUACGUCGAUUUCACUUUGGAUGAAUGGAAAGCCAUGUUACCAGAAGGAUUGCCAGCAGGGAUGCUGAAGGAGUUUCAAGACACGAGGCGGUGCGCGGUGAUGGUGAGGGAAAGCUUCCUAGACCUGCGGGAUAACUUCCGGAGAAUUGUUGAUCCGGCUAUUACAGCCAAAUGCAAAGAUACCAAAAGACAAAUUAUCUUGGAUGGCCCUCGGAGUUGUGGUAAAAGCAUUGCACUUGCGAUGCUUGUGCAUUGGGCCCGUACUGAGGGAUGGCUGGUGUUCUAUGUUCCCCAAGGGAAGGAUUGGACUCAUGGAGGAUUUUUCUAUAGAAAUACCUACAGUGAUCUUUUUGAUACUCCUGUACAGGCUGGAAAGGUUUUGCAGGAUUUUUUGAAAUACAACGAAACCCGCUUACAGCAGUUACCAUGUCAAAUUCUUGAGCCUAUUCCCCUGGGAGAAGGUACUGGUGUUGGAAUGAUGAAAGGGGCUGACACAGUGGAAAUGCCAGAAGGGUCCACAUUGUAUGAUCUCAUUCAAACUGGGAUAACCCACUCGCAUGCUGCAGUUGGUGUUGUAGUUCGUUUAAGAAAGGAGCUAUCACUUGUUAAAGAUGUGCCUGUACUGUUUGCCAUUGAUCAGUAUAACAGUUGGUUUACUUUCACCGAGUACCAGGAGCCUGUAACUGUUAGAUCCUGUCGAUCAAUCCACGCGAAAGAGCUUACAACGGUCAAUGCUUAUAGGUCAAUGCUUCACAAUGAUAUGAUGGUAGGAGCCUUCUCACAUUCAACCGCAGUUGGCAAACUAAGACAGGAGCUCCCGGAUGUUCCCUCUGACGCUCGUCUGAUUUUUCCACGGUACACCGUAGAUGAAGCAGAGACUGUGUGCCACUAUUAUAUGAGGCCUCAUUGCGUUUGUGUGCAUAGUUAUUGUGAAGCCUGUCGUCGCUGGAGCAGAAGGGUAGUUCUGAUAUCUCCCGUUCUGAAUUACUGGCCCUAUAUGGUUUUUGUUCCUGCGUGA